AUCCUUCCAGAAGAACCACAGCCGUUGUUGAUGAAUCUGGGUGUGGGUAGAGCUUGUCCGCUGGAGGUGACGCAGACACCAUCACUACAGUGUAAACACCAUUCAUGCAACUGCAGCCACCACCGGGGCCACUGGCCAGACCACCACUUCCCAGAGCCCAGGCCUCUGAGCUUUCCCUGGACUAGCUCCUCCCCGGAAUGCUUUCCUCUCAACCAGCCACCUUGAGAUCUACUUUUAGACCUUUAAGGGAAUGCUUUCCUCUCAACCAGCCACCUUGAGAUCUACUUUUAAACCUUCAAGGUUCAGGUAACAUCUUGAUAAUGCUUUCUGUGGCCCCUGACCUCUACACAAAAGAGCUCAUUGUGUUGUAGUUAUUUGUCUUAAGCACUUGUUACUCCUCCCCACAGGAUGGUUUCAAGGCAAGCCCUGUCUUACGUGUUUUUAUAACCUUGGCAAUUAGCAUAGUGCCUGCAUCAAGUGGGCUCCACCAAUUUUUCAUAAAUGAGUAAAAUAAACAAUUUUCUCCUGUCACUGCAGAGUCCAACCAACUCCCAGCCAACCCUCUCCCUGUACCCACUCUUGCCAUGCAGGGAAAGCCCACCUACUACAUGAGUCUGGGUAAGAAGGAGCAACACGCUGUAGCCAAUUCCCUUCUGUCUGACUCAAUCUCUUGUCUUUGCAACAGCGCUUGAGUUUAUAGUACUAAUUUAGUUACUGCAUCGUUUGUUUAAAAGAAAACCAUGACUAUUUGUUAAAACUCUGCCACUGAUGUAUACUUAAAAAUAGUUAUUUAAUGAAACCAUCUCAUUUGCUUUAAAUUUUUACUAAGCCGCUCAUUCUAUUUUGCACUAUGCUUUAUUAGAUUAUCUGUCAUAAACACCAAAAGGGAUGUGGUUGCAGACACGCACCAUAUAGCCAGGCACAGCCAAUACUCACUCACUUCUCCACCAGAGAUAUGUUGAAGUUGGCUUUUCUCAUUUGCAAUGCUACACUUAUGUUCUACUCACAAAAUUGAUCCUCUAAAUUCAAAGGAUUCUUGCAAGUGAAUGAUUAGAAAUACAUAAUUUUGGUGACAAAUCAUAGGCCUACAGUAGAAUAAUUUGAUAUUUGAAUGGGAUCCUUGUCAUGAGAAAUAUUAUGAUGAUGUGAGUUGAACCACAGCAGGUACAAAAAAAGAG
rnacentral:lncRNA from 10 species